GAAACGGGUGGGCCCUCGAAAUCCUGUGGCGGGAGGAUUCAGCCGGGCGGAGCGAGGCUGCGUCAGACUCGGACAUUGAGUUCGGACCCAUCGACAGGGGCCGUGUCCGAAGACGACGCACCGAUUCCUCGCCCUCCCCGACGCAUUUCCUUCCGCUCCGAGGACGCCGCAGCCGGUCGGGUCUCGACCCAAGUCGGCCGUGAGGGCGGACGACGGAAGGUUGCCGGUCUUCGGAUCGGUGGAUAGCCCGUCUGCCCGAGGCGCGACACCCGACCGAGGUGACAAGCGGGCCCCCACAGCGGGCUCCAGCCGUUCCUUUCCCUCGAGGGGGCAGAGGGCGAAAGCGGCAAGCGCGAGGUGGCUAUCGCGGAGACUCAGCCCUGAGUGCUGUGCGUCGCGACUCCUUCGCUGAUGGCUUGCUUACGCCCCGCGAGGGAGCUGGUAGGCUUGCGGCGAGUAAGUCGGUCACCCACCCGACCCGUCUUGAAACACGGACCAAGGAGUCUAACGUGUGCGCGAGUCAACGGGUCUUGAACAGGCCCCAGGGGCGACGUGAAGGCGAGAGUCUUCACGGUCGGGAUCCCGAGCCUCAGGGCUCGGGCGCACCGACGGCCCGUGCCAAUGCCGAGAAAUCGGCGGUGCGGUGCCAUAGCGCAUACGCUGGUACCCGAAAGAUGGCGAACUAUGCCAGGGCAGGACGAAGUCGGAGGAAACUCUGAUGGAGGUUCGUAGCGGUUCUGACGUGCAAAUCGAUUGUAAGACCUUGGUAUAGG
rnacentral:rRNA from 1 species